GAUGAACGCUGGCGGCGUGCCUAAUACAUGCAAGUCGAGCGAACGGACGAGAAGCUUGCUUCUCUGAUGUUAGCGGCGGACGGGUGAGUAACACGUGGAUAACCUACCUAUAAGACUGGGAUAACUUCGGGAAACCGGAGCUAAUACCGGAUAAUAUUUUGAACCGCAUGGUUCAAAAGUGAAAGACGGUCUUGCUGUCACUUAUAGAUGGAUCCGCGCUGCAUUAGCUAGUUGGUAAGGUAACGUCUUACCAAGGCAACGAUGCAUAGCCGACCUGAGAGGGUGAUCGGCCACCUUGGAGCUUAGACACGGUCCAGACUCCUAAGGGAGGCAGCAGUAGGGAAUCUUCCGCAAUGGGCGAAAGCCUGACGGAGCAACGCCGCGUGAGUGAUGAAGGUCUUCGGAUCGUAAAACUCUGUUAUUAGGGAAGAACAUAUGUGUAAGUAACUGUGCACAUCUUGACGGUACCGAAUCAGAAAGCCACGGCUAACUACGUG
rnacentral:rRNA from 1 species